UUCACCCCUCAAUCUCCCACAAAAUCUUCCACUGUCACUCGUCCCCCUGUCUCUUUGCUGGCCUUCUUUCUAUCUCAAUCUCUGUCUCUAUCGACUCCAUCCACCUUCUUGUUCGAGUGCCUCACCAAUUCAACUUCGUUCAGUCAACUUCAUUAGCUUAGGGUGGGAGAUUUCCAUGGCAUUUCAAGAAAAAUGGCUUUCAGAAUUCGCAAACAUGCAGAAGGUUUAAAAAAUUUUGAUGUUGCAGAUGAUGUUAUGGAAGCCCUACAAAGGACGGGUUUCGAUAAUUUUCUUAAAUUACAUAAUACGCUGAAACAUUCUGCAUGUAUUUUGGAGGCCUUGGCUUCGUGUUAUGAUGUGAAUACCUCUUGUUUUAGAAUAAAUGAACAAAUAAAUUUACAUUUUGGUUUAUUAGAUAUUUUGUACAUUAUAGGUUUGCCAAUUAUUGACAAACCUAUAUUAGGUAUAAAAAAUGAUGGUAGAAUAUUGGUUAGGACACUAUUCCCUGAAGCUUCUGAAAAUUUAUACACCAGGUCAAAGAGAUUUAGAUUACAUAUAUUGAAAGAUAUAACAACUCGUGGGGUGAAUUAAUGUAUAGAAUAAGGGCGACUGUUAUGUACAUAUUAGGAAAUACAAUAUAGCCAACUACAUCGGUUGUUAUGUAAAUAGUUGUUACGCAUCAUUAUUGACAAACCUCUAUGAAUUAGGCGAGUAUGCAUAGGGGGGUUGUUGUUUGUAAAUAUCCAUAAGAGUCUUCCCUUAUAUCAACAGAAACAAACAAGGGCACUUAACGGUUGUUCUUAUGCCUUAAUGAUUUGGGCAUUAGAGCGUAUAAAUAUUCUACGAACUGAAAUUUUUAAGAAUGUUUCAGUGGAGUUAUUGGAGGAGUUUCCUUUGUCUGUGGGGUGGUCUCCCCAAUUAGAAAGACCGAUAAAGAAUACACGAUCAACCUUGAAAAAUAAAAAUACCGUAUCGACAUUAUUUCAGACAAUAAGGGAAGAGAAUAUUUCUUUUUCCUCUUAUGACCGAUUGCCUCAAGCCUUUUUACCAACACAUUUGGAGAGGUAAAAAUAUUGGAGCUUGGCAAUUUUGCCACUUUCUUGCUUUGACACAUGUGUUUAUCAUGUGCCACAUGAAGCUCCACAAUAAUAUGGAUUGUUGUCGAAACAAAUUGCUCUUAUGAGGCAAUAGUUUAAUGAGCAUGGUCAUGAGGUUGUAAUAAAAGGAAAGUCAAUGUGUGGUCCUAGUGUAGUAAACUAUCUGGAGUUUUGAGAUGAUUUUUUAGUAGCUAGGACCUUCGUCAAAGACCAGUAAUGGCUGGUUAGACAAGACAAUUUUGAAGAGGAACAAAAUAAUAAUGUUGCUGUAAAGGUUGUGCAUGAGUUGGUUGAGAGGGAUGUGGAUGAGGAAGUUGAGAUUGAAAGAGACUCAACUGCCUAUAGGUUUAAGAGUGUCGAAGGGGCUAUGGAUGAGGAAAUUGGUUGGAUGGAAAAUGCAGCUGAGGAUGAGGCACCUGCUUAGAUUGGAGAGGAUGAAAGUGUGGCAAUUGAGAAUUUCGAAGCUGCUAUAGAUACAAAAAAAUUCUGUUGGCUAUCAUGUAGAGGAAGCUGUAGAUAUAAAAAUGCUGAUGAGGUUGAUACACCAACAUCCUCAAGAAGAAGAAAGAGAACUUGAUUAAUAGGAAUUCGAUUUUGUCCCCUACAACAACAAAGAGAAGAAUAAAACUUCCUGCUAGAUUAUUACAUUAUGAAGUUUCCAAUUUAAUAACAAAUAACCAAAAUCAGCAAAGGUGGGAUUAGUGAGAUGAACAUGCAGUGGCAUAAGGAUGAUGGCCUUCUGAAAGGAGACAAUGGAGGAGCAACAAGGACAAACAAGAUAUGUUUGAUAGCCUCCAAGCUUGUGGACAAUCAAGGCCAAUUCAUUCAGUGGCCUAAGGUUCAAAAGCCUAUCUUUGAGAAACCCAAUAGGAUAACUGCUCCAGUUUACUGCCUGCAGCCGCGCCAACAAAAACUUGGUGAUACAAAUACUCACUGUAGUGAUUCUCUUUCUGGAUUUUCUUCAAGUUUUAGGCUAAGAUAUAAUCAUAUCGUGGCUCAUCCACUUAGCAUUCCUCCUAAUAUCACCAAGAUGUCAUAGAAAUACUACGAAGAUAUAGUUAGUCACUCAUUUUUCCUUUAUUAUCUUUUCAUUUUUAGAAAGUUUGUUUAGUUAAAAAUUACGGUGGUGUUGUUCAUGUUGGACAUAUACAAUAUUGCUUCAUUUUACAGCAGGUACUAGAAAUAGAAAAACAAAACUCCUUAGUCUCUUUAUCUCUACUCCCUGCCAAAUGAAGAAAAAGAGCAUGCAUACACAUACACUUGCAAAUCAAUUGCACCCUUAGGAUCAACUGCUUUGGAUAAUUAUGAUGAGGACUUUUAGUUGAGAAUUGUGGGACAAAAGUCAGACGGAUUUGUUACUAUGAUAACCGAUUAUAUUAUAACAUGUUCCUUUCAUUUGAUUAAAUAACUUCACUUGAUUUACCUUAAAAAGUUACUAAUCACAUACCUGUAGAUAUAAGUUUCCAAAAAGUGGGUUGAACCAUGUCAAAAAACCUAGCUAUUUAUCCAGUCCUCACUUCAUUUAAUUUACCUCUCACCAUAUUAGAUAAUAAGAUUGAUUAACCUAUGCUUAUCGUAGGGCUAGUUUAAAUUGAGCUGAAUUGGUCAAAAAAGGUUAGCUCAGCUUGGCAUGGUUUAAAUUCGUUUAGUUUGAAUUUGAAUCAAAUUUGAGCUAGAUAAGUUAGACAUUUUUCUAAACCGAACCGAACUCUAGCAAUGGGGUUUCAGAUCAACGGUGUAAUUUUUAACUGAACACACUUCCUACAAAUAAAAAGAUAACAAAGGAAAAAUGAGCAGCAAACUUUGAUAUCUUGGUGACAUUAUGAGCAAUGUUAAGUGGAUGAGGCACGGCAUAAUUAAUCUUAGCCCAAAACUGAAAGGAAUUUCAAAAAGGUCAUCUCUACAGUGAAGAUAAUAAAGGAAGCCCUUCAUUUUCUACCACAAUCUUGCUAAGGCAUCUACGUAUUUUCUUGUUUUCUUUUUUUAACUAUAUGUUUCAUCAUAAUUCCUCAAAAAGGUACCAUAAAAUGUAGAAUUGAAAGCUCAAUUAUGAUUAUUUUUCCUUGGUUUUUUAGCUGCACUGGCUCUUAGAUGGAUGGUUUUAAUUCAUUUUUCUCUCUGCAUUUUAUUAAAAUGAAAGAUUAAUGACAUGAAAAUCUGCAUAUUUUACAAUUUUCUAAAGGGGUUUAUUAGUCGCUUAUUCCAUCCAGACGAGCUAAUUUCAUUGGUUCAUGCUUUUAAAAACCUGCUGUUUAAAGAGCUGCUUGCUACCACUUCGUAAUUCUAUCAGACGAAAAUAGCCAAAGACCGCUGUGGCAUGCCCUGUUUACAGCUGCUUAUCUUCUUCUGUCUUUCCGUCAUCUCAACCUUGCACCUAAGCAUCACAUUCCUAGAGACAGAGACCUUCAAGCUCUAAGGCUAUCAUAGUAAUGCCAGCAUGGUUACAUCUAACUGCCUACUGGGCAAGCUUCCACUUUCUUAAGAUGUACUUGUUGCAGUGUUACACAGAGCAGGACAAUAACGUUGAACUCUCAGCCAUGGACAUGGCCUUUCCUACAGUUACAAAAAUCGCUUAGAUUCUGAAAGGAGAUGGACUGGCUAUUAACAAUGAUGUGAAGAUAUCUACAGUAAACUCCAAGCAGGUUCAUGGAGGUUCUUUCAUUCAGAGACCUAUGGUUGUACUGAUUAAUUGGCUUCCUUCUUCUAUUUCAUUAGUUAAAAGUUCUUAUUCUUCAUCCAUCUUACUGGGUUUUCAGAUCCAAAUUAUUUUGGGGAAGGCUCAGAAUUUGGACAAGAUCACAACUGCUGCUGAUGGUGUCACAGCACCUAAUGUGGAAUCUGCUACGCAGGCCUGACCCAGCAGUUGCUUAAGAAUUCCCUUUCUUUCUUUUCCAGUUUAUGUAAGUGUUUCAACAUAUAGGAGAAAAUAAUUUUGUAAUA